ensembl:snRNA U6 U6 spliceosomal RNA
GUGCUCACUUCAGCAGCACAUAUACUAAAAUUGAAAUGAUACAGGGAAAAUUAGCAUGGCCCCUGCACAAGGAUGACACACAAAUUUGUGAAGCAUUCCAUGUUUUU